rnacentral:lncRNA from 1 species
UGUCUAACCUCAAUCAAACCCAAAUCACUCCAAUACAAAAAAAACCAACAAACACAAUAAAUAACAUUUUUUCAAUCGGGCAAACACAAUAACGAUUCAAACAUGCAAAGUAACAACAAAAUUUUCGACAAGGUAUGGAAGAAAACCAACCUACGGGAAUGUGGCUUCUCGUGGUAUGUAAAAGAGUAAAUUUAUCUUAUGUAACUCUUUU